CCUACGGGUGGCAGCAGUAGGGAAUCUUCCACAAUGGACGAAAGUCUGAUGGAGCAACGCCGCGUGAGUGAUGAAGGGUUUCGGCUCGUAAAGCUCUGUUGGUAGUGAAGAAAGAUAUAGGUAUUAACUGGCCUUUAUUUGACGGUAAUUACUUAGAAAGUCACGGCUAACUACGUGCCAGCAGCCGCGUUAAUACGUAGGUGGCAAGCGUUGUCCGGAUUUAUUGGGCGUAAAGGGAGUGCAGGCGGUUCAAUAAGUCAGAUGUGAAAGCCUACGGCUCAACCGGGGAAUUACAACAGAAACUGUUGGACUUGAGUGCAGAAGAGGAGAGUGGAACUCCAAGUGUAGCGGUGGAAUGCGUAGAUAUAAGGAAGAACACCAGUGGCGAAGGCGGCUCUCUGGUCUGCAGCUGACGCUGAGGCUCGAAAGCAUGGGUAGCGAACAGGAUUAGAUACCCCAGUAGUC
rnacentral:rRNA from 1 species